rnacentral:rRNA from 1 species
UGGGGAAUUUUGGACAAUGGGGGCAACCCUGAUCCAGCCAUGCCGCGUGAGUGAAGAAGGCCUUCGGGUUGUAAAGCUCUUUCGCGAGGGAAGAAAUUGCACCGGAUAAUACCUGGUGUAGAUGACGGUACCUUGAUAAGAAGCACCGGCUAACUACGUGCCAGCAGCCGCGGUAAUACGUAGGGUGCGAGCGUUAAUCGGAAUUACUGGGCGUAAAGCGUGCGCAGGCGGUUUCGUAAGACAGGCGUGAAAUCCCCGGGCUUAACCUGGGAACUGCGCUUGUGACUGCGAGGCUAGAGUACGGCAGAGGGAGGUAGAAUUCCACGUGUAGCAGUGAAAUGCGUAGAGAUGUGGAGGAAUACCGAUGGCGAAGGCAGCCUCCUGGGCCAGUACUGACGCUCAUGCACGAAAGCGUGGGGAGCAAACA